GUUUUGACCCAUAGGUUAAGCUGCUCUAGAGGCUUUCAAGGAGGAUUUCAAGUUCAAGGCCAGCCUGAGCUACAUAGUGAGAUCCUGACUCAGGUUGAGGAGAUGGCUCAGCAAUUAAAGUUCUCGCCCCGCAAGCAAGAAGACUGCAGGUUGGCUAUGCAGAGUCUACAUCAGUGCUGGGUUGGUAUGGCAGCUGGCUGUAAAUCCAGCCUUAGAGCACAGAGAUGGGAUUUUAGGGCAAGCUGGGUUGUCAGGGUAUCCACGUGGCGAACUCUGUAUUUGACUAGGGAAUUCCAUGUCAUAGAAUUCAGUGGAAGAAUGAUCAAGGAAAUUCUCAACAUUCAUCUUGGACCUCUAUGCUCAUAUGCAAACAUGUGUAUACAUGACCCUCAUGUGCACACUCAAGUACAUACAUGUAAGCACAUGAUUGCACACCAUGUGCAUAUACACCAUACAUAUAAAGAGAAGAAAAAAGAAAAACAAAGAUCCUGUCUCAUAAAACAAAAAGUGAAGAUAUCAUUAUGUUGUAUAUAAAUCUAUAAGCAAUAUAAGUGAACUUCAUGUUAGACUCUGGAGUCCUGUCUCCAACUCUCUCUCUCUCUCUCUCUCUCUCUCUCUCUCUCUGUAUGUGUGUGUGUGUGUGUGUGUGUGUGUGUGUGUGUAUGCGAACGUGAGAAAGAAGGUAGUAGUUUGCUCAUGUUCCAACAGAUGACUCUAUAUCCAUGUACAUAUUGAGCUAAAAAAAAUUAGAAGGGACAUGAAGUUAGGAAGGAGACAUGUGGCAGAGAGUAGGGAGUAUCUGACCAAAAUAAAGUCUACAUGUAUGAAAUUAUCAAAGAGAAAAUAAAAAUU
rnacentral:lncRNA from 1 species